GAGGGCCACAGCAAGCUGCUUUCUCUCAUGGGGACAGACCCUGGGACCAACGUUAUCUGGAAAGAGCUGCUCAUCUUGAAGACAAGAUGACGAAGCUGUGACAAGGCGAAGGCCCUGUGGUGUCGAAAGCACAUGAUGGAGAGCAUCCUGCAGGAGUCUGUGGAGCAACUGGGCUAGGAAGGCAGAUCAUCUGCAAAUAAUCCAUUUCACUCCCAGGGUCUCGUGCACGGAGGCUUGUGCUGUGGCAUCUGGGACACAGGAAGUGCAGGGAACAUGUGGAUCCAUGAAAAUAGCAGACUCUAUUCACGGAGCUCCAGCAGGAAAUGCUCCCUGGACGUGCCUCUCCUUGGAGGAGGCUAGACAGCCCUUCUUUGAAAAGCAGAAUGGAUUUAACAAAAGCCUUGCACCGAGCUGCCCCAAUCUCUCUGACAGCGCUGCCCGCCCAGCAGGGUCCAGACACGAACAGGGCUGGAGGGAUUCCAGCUGCCUGAGCUGAGACUUUCCAUAGUCAGUCGCUUAGAUCAAAACUCCACCAGCAGCAAUCUCAUUCGGCGCUGAACGCUCCACGCUUCUUCCUUUCCCGCUCCUGGGCUUCAGCUCGGCGCUGAGGUUCCCCAGCCUCUCUGCUCCUUUUGUCUCUUUGUGAAAGGCCGGUCCUGCACCACUGCCUGCCAAGCACAGCCGCAGUCUCGCCCUCGCGGCCGAAGUGCUGACUGACCCCCUGGGGAUGAUGAUGCGCUGUCCUCACUUUGCCCUGAGCGCUGAAUGUCUCUGGCUACUUCUUGCUCCUCUUCACUCCGCCGCCGCAAAACCCUCCUUGCUCUCCAUGCUCUAGCAACACGACAGAGUAACACACGGGGCCCUUUCCAACAGGCUGCAGCUGCAUAUUCUGCCCGCUCCGCUGAUGCCACUGAAGGGAGGACAGGUGAUGGCCUACUAGGUGAAACACAGAUGAGCUUGUUGCAGAGGAGAGGGAGACCGUUUCAUUGUGUGAUAUGCUUAUUGCCAUGGUAGCCGGACACCAACCAUCUUAUUUUAACUCUCUCAGGGCUACUGGGUGUGGAAGCUCGCUCCUUCCCAUUUUCUCGUUCUGUGCUUUCCCCAGGUCCCCUAAGCCCUGGAUCUGUUGUGAUCUGACUAAGUGAGGGAAAUGCAAAACAGUGCUCAGGAGUUCCUGCCCUUGUAACAAAGCCCUGGGCUUCGGACAACAGGCGAGGCACAUGUUGCUUGGUGAACGUCACUCUCCAGUACAGCCAGGGAGCCAGGAUUAGAACCGCGAUCCUUUGGCUUCAGAAACGUGCAUCGCUACCCAUCCAGCUGAAGGACAGCGCUCUAGCUGGUGCCAGUGAAUGAUCCCUCGCCUGACCUGUGGGUCCAUCCACUACCAGGCAGCACCCCUCAAAGCCAGUUCGUUCCCCUCCAACUCUGAAUAUUUAUUUACCCCGGGCCUUGCUUGGGAAAGGGGAUGGCCUGCCUUAUGAAAUGGGGGCAGACAUAGGCUUAAAAGCUCCCAAGCCGGGCCAGACAAUAAAACCAUCAGGGAAAUCACGGGGCAGGAAGUUUGGACAAGUGCUGGCUGACGCGAAAAUGAAUGGGUUUUCUAUGCUCGAGGAUGUGGCCCAGGCCCAGGGGAAUAAAGCCGGCAUUGUAGUGACAAAGUCUCGGCCUGCGAAGAGGAACUUCGUGCCUGCAGUCAAGGGUCACAACCACAGGGCUCAAUCCCGAGGGGGCUGUUGAUCUUCCGCCCUCUCUCGCUUCCCAUUUGGUUACUGGAACUUGGCUAGU